CCCGAGGCGGGAAUGAAUACUUGCUGGAUCCUCAAGAUCCACCGUUUUCUCCUUCUGGCGGCGGCCAUGUCACUCCUUAGAAGCCACCGUGUUGGCCGAGCCUCGGACUUGGUGACGUGCGACGAUGGAUCCGAUAUCGGCUUCUCCAAGACCAGUGAUUGCCACAGGGCGUUCGCGUCGUGGCGCAGCGGAAACGGAUCCGACUGGUACCCAUGGGGAUGCGGGUUCGAACGCCGGCCUCGCUCAGCGGGUCGGGGAUCCGGCGUUUCCGUGAGCUGUGGUGUAGGUAGCAGACGCGGCUCGGCUCCCACGCGGCUGUGGCUUAGGCCGACAGCUGUCGCUCCCCUUCGACCCCUAGCCUGGGACCUUCCAUAUGCCACUGGCGCCGCCCUAAAAAUAGAAAAAAGAAAAAGAAAAUUGCAGCAGACUCAUAGACUUUGCCAACAGACUUACCCCUUUGGUUACCAAAGGGGAAAGGUGGGAGUUUGGGGGAGGGGUGAGAUCAAUGGGGGGGUUGGGGAUUAACCCACACACACACGCGCUCCUAUGUUUAGAAGCGAGACCCGACAGGCACCUUCCCUGUGUGUGUCGCAUAGGGAACUCGACUCCACAUGCUGUAAUAACCUGUAUGGGAAAAGAAUCUGAAAAAGGAAUGGAUAGUGCAUAACUUGAUGGCUUUGCUGUACCCCUGAGCCAACAGGACAUUGUACAUCAACUGUACUUCGAUACAAAAUACAAAAUUAAAGAAAAUCAGCGACGGCAAUGGUGUAAUUCUAGAGGGGAGAGAGAAAGCAACACGAGGCAACCAUUUCCUGACUUGUGAGACGUUUCCAGACUAGUGGGACAGGCGGUCGGGAGGCUUUGGGCUAUGGUGAACAGGGCAUCGGCUGGUAACGGCACAUUGGCCUUGAUGAGCAACGUAAUCCUUGCCCGACCUGCGACUGAGCAUUCCUAGCCAAGUGGGACCGUGUGGUCAAGCAACGCACCCCUCCCACCCCCGGCCCCGCCAAGCCGCGGUGGACCUUAAGACCGAGAGGGAGGGGCUCGUAAACUCAAGAACGUCGCCCGCCAUCUCUGUAAGAAUCAAGUCCAGGAGUUCCCGUCGUGGCGCAGUGGCUAACCAAUCGGACGAGGAACCAUGAGGUCGCGGGUUCGGUCCCUGCCCUUGCUCAGCGGGUUAAGGAUCCGGCGUCGCCCUGAGCUGUGCUGAAGGCCGCAGACGCGGCUCGGAUCCCGUGCUGCUGUGGCUGUGGCGUAGGCCGGUGGCUACAGCUCCGAUGAGACUCCUAGCCUGGGAACCUCCAUAUGCCGCGGGAGCGGCCCA
rnacentral:lncRNA from 9 species